AUUAAUAAGCGGAGGAAAAGAAACUAACGAGGAUUCCCUCAGUAACGGCGAGUGAAGCGGGAUCUAGCCCAGCACCGAAUCCCCCGGCGGAGACGCCGGCGGGAACUGUGGUGUUCGGGACGACCCACGCCCGUCGGUCGGACGCCCGAGUCCUCCUGAUAGGGGCUUCUCCCAGAGCGGGUGUAAGGCCUCUACGGCGUCCGGUCGGCGAGCCCGGGGAGUCCUAGGAGUCGGGUUGUUUGAGAUUGCAGCCCAAAGCGGGUGGUAAACUCCAUCUAAGGCUGAAUACGGGCACGAGUCCGAUAGCGAACAAGUACCGUGAGGGAAAGUU
rnacentral:rRNA from 1 species